UGACACUACACUACUCUUCAUUUUUACAGGCCAUGGAACAAUAAAUAACUUGGCAACGGAUACCCUGUGGUCUACAAUUAUACUGUAAUUAUGUGUGCACUUUGGAUCUAUUGGAUGUCUAAAUGUAUUGUUAAUCGACAACUACUGAUGCAAAGGAGAUGUGUGUCGAGAGGCACAUGAAUAUGCACGUGGGCUCUUUUUCAGCAUGGUAGUCUAAAAAACUGUGGUAUUCUCAGAACACGUAGAAAAUGCUUUGCUAUCAAACCGGGCAAGUGCAGAUUUCCUUGAAUAUAGUUUAUUUUACAAUUGUGUUGCCAACGUGCUUCCAUUGUUUUAUCACCAUAAAAUAGUUCUAGGUGCUCAUAUAAAAUUUAGUGGCGUGUAUGGGUGAUUGUAGUGCAGUUUUGUUUAUCUGCUUGCAUUUUCAGCAUUAUAGUGUUGAUAUACUAUCUCAAUAAAACAGUGAAUACGUAUAAUAUGUACAAGCUACAUUCAAGUUAUGGCAGUGUGCCUGGGUAAGAUGAACUGGUAAUCUUCUGCUAGCUGAAAAAAACUUUUUUCGUCUUUACAUGUGUUUCUUGUUGAAACUCUUUUUCGUCUUUGCAUGUGUUUCUUGAUGAAGCUCGUGAUUUUCAAGUUAUGGCAGUACAUAUGUCUACCCACUUGCAUGACUACCGAUAUUGUCCUUAUUUUGCUCCUCCUUAGCCUUGUUCUGUUAGUGCAGUUCUUUUAAAUAGCAGGGACAGAGUCCCAGAAAACAUGCCUGCUUGCUUUUCUUAGUGGCGCACUUGCAAGUAUAUGUGGUAGUUUCUGUUAGUUUCUCAUGCUUUUCUACAAAGUGAUAGGUUAAUAAUGUCAUCAACAAUUUUUUCCUUAACUGAUCAAUAUCUUAGAAGUUGUCACUCAUUAAUUUUCUUUUCCUUAUCUGAUCUCUAGCGAGUAGAGUGAUUUAUUUUCGCAAUACCUAAUUCUGAUCAUAGGUAAUGACAGAUUUGUUUUCAUUAAAUGAGAUUCUUGUUUUGUGUUGAUUUUACAAAAUUUCUGUAGCUACAUAUUUGCUCAAUCCAAUAGACAGAUUUUAAUCAACCUUUAUUAUAAUGUAUUUCCAAUUGUUCAUAACUACAUAAAUUUUUGUUGUGAUUUUGCAAGAUUUCGAAAUUAUUGUGUUUCAAAAUUGUUAUACUGAUUCCUCAAUGCUCUGUUCAUGGCUUUGUUCUUAUUUUAUCCAAAAGACAGAUUUUACUCAACCUUCAGUAUAAUAUUUGCUUUGUUCUUAUACUGAUUCCUCGAUGCUCUGUUCAUGGCUUUGUUCUUAUUUCUGAAGCUAUAUAUUUUCUCUAUCCAAAAGACAGAUUUUACUUAAUCUUUUGCCUUUUAGAAAAAGGGAGAUGCCAUUUAGAGCUUACUCUGUCCAACUUGAUCUUCAACUUGCCGCUACUGUUCCUAAGCAUUUUCCUGAAAACUGUUGUAUUUGCUUUAGAGAAUGAGCUCACCUUACUCAGAAGAUAUGCCAAGUAAAAAAUUAGAAAUUGAACAAUUAGUUCCGCUCUUAAAUUUUGCACAACAGUCCAAAUUAUCCAAUAAAUCAUGUGUUAGCAGGGUCAAAUUAUAGAAGUUGAAUCACUUGUUCUAAAUUACCCAAUCCAAAUUAUGGAUGUUAAUAAUAUGCUUUGUGUUAGACUGUUAGUCAACUUGUCGAAAGCCGGAGCUGGGUUGAGGAGCCGGCCUCCGCCUUUGACCAUUACGUGAGAAGCAACACCGGCGUUGGCCGUUCCGUGUGCAGAGUGUGUGAGUUAGUGAUUUAAUUCCAUCCUUUCCAUCUCAUGAUGUGAUUUUUCCUUUAGGAUGAAUUAGUAACUUUGUGUGGAGGUGGCAGCACUACCUGCUGGUUGGUGUAAUGCCGUGCUUGACAGGGUGAUUUGCAAUUCCGAGUUUGUUUAAUGGCUUAAUGUCUAAGCACUCAUCCCCUUAUUCUGUUGUGUUGUUACCAACUUGGUUUGCAAGGAACAGACCUUCAUCUGUGUACAUCAAGAUUGCUAAUUGCCAGCUGAAGGGUGAUAGUAAAGCAUGAAGAUGCCUAAGCUUAUGAGGAAGCUGCAAACUGCGACCAAAAAUUCUCACUUCAGGGUACUCUCUCUCUCUCUCAAUCUCAAAGAGGAAACGAGGCAGCCACGGCCUCCUUGCCCCCCCCCCUUCUCUCCCGUGCCUCCGCGCUGCUGCAGUACUCCCGCGCUGCACACCGCUGCUGCUCCCCAACCACGGCGCUAUGAUGGUGCUUGCUCGCCUGGUCGCCGCCUCGUCUCGCCCAAUCUUGAUAUAGUCCGGGGCGGCGCCGGCACCGCUCGACCGCGUCGUUGCCUCCUCUGCGUCAUGAGAAGCGCCACCAUUGCCUCCACCCCCACUGGGCAAGGAGCUCGAGGUGUUUGGGGGUUCGUGUUUCCUACACAGGCCAAAACACUAUUGGAGCCUUGGAGUUUGAAACCAGUCGUUUGGAGCAGAUCAGCUCAAAAGAGAUCCUUUGUACCAUUUGCAGACUACCCAUCUCCCUCUGGCCUGGAGUCUCGCUCGCCUCUGUUUUCCCCCUGUGGACACACAUGAGACUCAGAUCUUGGCUCGUCGUAGAGGAAUCGAUAGCAAGAAUCAACCAGAGAAAGGAUGUAUACAAGUUACUCGAUGGU